UACUCUUGACAUCCAGAGAACUUAGCAGAGAUGCUUUGGUGCCUUCGGGAACUCUGAGACAGGUGCUGCAUGGCUGUCGUCAGCUCGUGUUGUGAAAUGUUGGGUUAAGUCCCGCAACGAGCGCAACCCUUAUCCUUUGUUGCCAGCGGUUAGGCCGGGAACUCAAAGGAGACUGCCAGUGAUAAACUGGAGGAAGGUGGGGAUGACGUCAAGUCAUCAUGGCCCUUACGAGUAGGGCUACACACGUGCUACAAUGGCAUAUACAAAGAGAAGCGACCUCGCGAGAGCAAGCGGACCUCAUAAAGUAUGUCGUAGUCCGGAUUGGAGUCUGCAACUCGACUCCAUGAAGUCGGAAUCGCUAGUAAUCGUGGAUCAGGAUGCCACGGUGAAUACGUUCCCGGGCCUUGUACACACCGCCCGUCACACCAUGGGAGUGGGUUGCAAAAGAAGUAGGUAGCUUAACCUUCGGGAGGGCGCUUACCACUUUGUGAUUCAUGACUGGGGUGAAGUCGUAACAAGGUAACCG
rnacentral:rRNA from 1 species